GUGUGUGUGUGUGUGUGUGUGUGUGUGUGUGUGUGUGUGUGUGUUCCAGGACCUUCCUCAUGAGGAGGUCACACCCACACCCACCCACAAGG
rnacentral:miRNA from 1 species